UUGUUACUAUAUUUAGAUUCUAUUGUCAUUAUACUUAGAGUCUAUUCCUACAAGUGCAUAGAGCUUCAGGGACGAAAAUCUGCAUUCCCUUGAUCAAGUCCUUUUUUUUCUUCCAAAAUGUUCAAUGGCGACCGACUGCCUGUAGUAAAUGGCUCAAACUUCUUGGCUUGGCUCGCAGGGACAGAACCUUGACUCCCUCCUUCUUGAUAAUAGUCACUGGACACUCUGAAGGCCUAUGAUGCAGGUAAAAUUAUUACCCUCAUCUACAUCUUACAGAUGGGGAAACUGAGAAGGAAAGAAAGGACCCCCAGCCACCCCCUGUCAGGGCCCCAGCCUGGCCCCGGCCUGUGGAUGACUGUCAGGACCGGAGUGUGCUGUGAUAAACCAGAGCACGUGCACCAAUGGAGAGACCACCGCCUGGGAGAGAAGGUAGGUCAACUUCCUGGUCUGCCACGAAUGUACUGUGUGACCUUACGCAAGCCCCUUUCCCUCUCUGGGCCUGAUGUCAUAGUAAAGCCCUUUCAUACAGAGCGGCCUGCAGCUCAAUCACUGCAAUGGUCAAGGAGGCAAGGCCACCCCACCCUUUCUUGAAUGCCCUCCGUCUCCAGAGAGGAUAGCGGGAGUGAAGCAGGACAGCCUGGGGAAGAGGCAGUGUGGUAUACUGGGCAGCACACUGGGCCCGCCAUCGAGAAUUCUGAGUUGGAGAUUCUUGUGGUGGGUACUAUCUGGCCCUCUUGGGACCUCUGUCCUCUCUGUUCCAAACGCUCCAUGGCUUCCAACUCUACCCAGAAUAAACCCCAAACUCCUUACCAUGGCCCUACGUGACCCAUCUUGCCAGCCUCAUCUGCUUGCAUCUCUGCCCCUUGUUCAGAGGCCAGGCUAGCCACCCCCACCCCCCAUGCUAGCCUCCUGCCUUCCCUCCAAGCUCAUUCGCCCUCAGGACCUUUGCACUGGCUGUUCCUUCUGCCUCGAACUGUCUUCCCCAGACCUUCCCGUAGCCGUCUCCUUCUUGCAUUUGGAGCCCCAGCAGCAAUGUCACUCCUCAGAGAGGUUUCC